CAUAUGGAGAGUUUGAUCCUGGCUCAGGACGAACGCUGGCGGCGUGCCUUACACAUGCAAGUCGUGCGAGAACGGUUCCUUCGGGAACCUAGUAGAGCGGCGAACGGGUGAGUAAUACGUGAGCGAUCUGCCCGAGGGUGGGGGAUACCCCAGGGAAACCUGGACCAAUACCGCGUACAGCGUCGGGAGUGGGUGCCCGACGUGAAAGCCGGCCUCUUCUAUGCUGGCGCCUUCGGAUGAGCUCGCGGCCUAUCAGCUUGUUGGUGGGGUAACGGCCUACCAAGGCUAUGACGGGUAGCUGACGUGAGAGCGUGAUCAGCCACAUUGGGACUGAGACACGGCCCAGACUCCUACGGGAGGCAGCAGUGGGGAAUAUUGCG
rnacentral:rRNA from 1 species